rnacentral:rRNA from 1 species
UACGAAGGGUGCAAACGUUGCUCGGAAUUAUUGGGCGUAAAGCGCACGUAGGCGGCUUAGCAAGUCGGAAGUGAAAUCCCACGGCUCAACCAUGGAAGUGCUUUCGAAACUGCUGAGCUUGAGUACGAAAGAGGAUCGCGGAAUUCCCGGUGUAGAGGUGAAAUUCGUAGAUAUCGGGAGGAACACCUGUGGCGAAGGCGGCCCCCUGGUUGGAUACUGACGCUGAGACGCGAAAGCGUGGGGAGCAAACAGG